ensembl:lncRNA
CUCCCACACUUGGAGUUUGCAAGAAUAUCAUUGGACUUGCAAUUGUUAUUCAAGGGGUAGGAGGUAGAGCAGUUGUCUUGUAACCGAAAGGUUGCUAGUUCGAUCCCCGGUUCGAGUGUUGAUGUGUCCCUGAGCAAGGCAGUUAACCCUAACUGCUCCUGACGAGCUGGCUGUCGCCGUGCAUGGUUGACUCUGCCGUCGGUGUGUCAAUGUGUGCAUUAACUGAUGUAAGUCGCUUUGGAUAAAAGCGUCUGCUAAAUGCCCUAAAUAUAAAUAUAAAUAGUUUGCCUAAACUUCAAGAGAUUGUCGCUGGGAAAGGGUUAGUGGGUCGCAUCGAUAUUUCUAGUGGAGGUAACAACCCCACACACACACGUAACAUGUAUUUGCCCAAUGUUGGCCUCCUGAUGAUUAUGUAGAUGGUAGAUGAUUAUGAAUCAACUUGGCGUAGUUUAGCUCAGCGUCUGGGUUCAGUUCUUAUAAAGGACAUGGUACUCUGUUCUCCACAAGGGGAGGAUUCCUCUCGUUGUUCUACUGUCGUCUGAGGAGUGCAGAACAUCCUGGACCCAGUCCGCGCAGGCACGGAUUUCCUUUGAGGGAGAAAGGUCAAAGGUCAGACAGGCGUCGUGGUGUAUUUGUCUUGAUACUUGUGGCCUGUUGUUUACACAGUUGCGCUAAUGAGUGCGUAGCGUCGCGCGUGACUAAAGCUAGGAUGGCCAGCGGAGGUUGGGGGGUUUACCAGGGGUGUAUAACUCACAUCCACAACAUGUGCCUCAACCCUUCGUAUGCCUUUCAUACCAUUUCAACAAGAACACCCAAACUUGUACUACUUGUAUUACUUCUACUACUUUGACUAAUAGUAUCAUGACUAAGACUCUCUAGCUAGCACUUGAAAAUUACAAGCAUGAAAAUUCUUCUACUACUACUUUGUCUACUACAACUACUAGGCUACUACUAAUAAUAAUACUAAUAUUAAUACUAUGACUACUACUACUGCUAUUACUGCUAAACCACUCCUGAUUAAUACCAAUUGAAGAUGUUUGGAUAUUGGUGGUGGAUUAUAAUAACAUAAUAAUAACAUUGAUUACCAUGUUCAAAGAGUGUGUUUGGCCUCUAUUAAUCUCCUUCUCUGUGAUGUCUCACCCUUUGGUGCAGGAAAGUCUUCAAAAAAUGUAUUCAGGCAUUUCAUAUCACUUACCGUAUCAGCUACAUCCAAGGGAGGCAGGAUAACAGUAUGUACAACAACAGACAGGAUUUAAAUAUUAAUAAAAAAACGGCAACUAAAAACAAUCCAGAAAUUGAAAAAAAAUGAAUUGAAUAAUGACCAAAUGGCAGAGCCUUGUCUCAGAAUCUUGAAACUAAAGACAAUAAAAUAAAAUAUAAUUGUAUGUAUACAUUCAAUGGUUUGCAGUGUUUUUUCCUGAUGUUUUUCCUGUGUGUGUGUGUGUGUGUGUGUGUGUGUAAUCCUCAUCUCUCAGCAGCCAUUGUUGUUUAUGUCUGUGAACUAAUC